CUCGGCUCGGCUCGGCACCAUUCGCCCCGCCCCGCAGGUCUUCACGGACAGAGGAACGGCCUAGUGAUAGAUAGUUGAAGGAUGAUCGCCACCAACUGCUACAGCACUGGCCUUGGUACUUGCUCCCGCUUCCAGAAUCCAGCAACUACACUACCUUGGAGGGUCUGAAAUGCACCUUAAAAGCAAGAUCCAAAGCAGCUUUUGGCUGCACAGCAGUGAAGGAAAUUCAAGAGGAAUUGUUUUUCAUCUCAGUUAACUGACUUAUGGUGAUGUACCUUGUGAAGCCAACAUCCGAUGUUCCCUGGUGCUGACUGCUGUGCGCAUCCUAACUUCACCUACUCUUAAGAUGAUAGCACUGCAGUGUCAGGUGCUCUCACUACUAUGCGGGUGUCUCAGGUAAGUUAGAGAGGAAAUGUCCCAUGCCUCACUAUUAUUGGAACACAGUCUCUGCUAUUCGCAGCUAGCACCUCUCAGCUUGAGAGAGUACAAACUGUGAGGUAACCUGUGGUUUUACCUGAAUCACAUCAGAGAGGAUGUGAGGAAGUGUGAUGGAAAACCCACCUCUGCACUGACAGCAUGGGUAUGUGAGCUGAAGUGAAGAACAGGUACCACAGGAAAUUUUUUUCAAGGAUAAAUGCCACUCCAGUUUCCAAUAGGCAAGUCCUCCCUCAGACAGAAAAGAAGGGCUGAUAUAACUUCUGGUUGUCUUAAAGGACCUCCAUCUAUAUCUACAAGAAGUGAACCAUGACCAGAAGGGCCCUGACUCCAGCCAGGUAGAGGAGAGGGAGAAUCAGAUCUAUUGGACUGCGUGGAUCCAAUGCCCUGGCACAUCAGUCAUGCAAGGGUGACACCAGAGCACAAAGUACCCUGAUGCCAUCAAGACAUGUAGGGGUAGAAUCCAUCUCUAUUUCUGGGGUGACAAGGGAAUCCCAAAAGCUGACUCUACUGGAAGCUUGAGUGAGCCUGGCUGGGAGUGAAUGGCAAAAACACCCCUCUGUGACUGGCCCAGAAGCUACAUGGAUCCUUGGCAUAGAUUACCUCAGGAGGGGUAAUCAGAGACCCAAAAGGUCAUUGUUAGGCUUUUGGGAUGGCCACUGUGAAGACAGAGGAAAUUAGAGAGCUGAAUGCCUUGCCUGGUUUCUCAUAGGACCCUUCUGCUGUGGGACUGCUGAGGGUUGAAGAACAGGUACUGAUCCCUACCACAUCACUGCACCAGCUGGGACUCUGUGGUCCCCACCCAUGAGAGGAUUUGUGAGCUGGGCACCCAGGGAGUGGUCAGCAAGCCUUGCUCACCCUUUAUCAGCCCUGUAUGGUGAGUGUGUAAGUCCAGUGGAGAAUGGAAACUCAGAGUGGACUGUCGUGGCCUGAAUGACGUCACGCCACCUCUGAGCGCUGCUGUGCUGGGUGUGCUGGAACUUCAGUACGGACUGGAGCCCAAGGCAGCAAAGUGGUGCCACCACUGACACUGCUAAUGUGUUUUUUCCCAUUCCUUUAGCAGCACAGGUUUAGUCAGGCCACAGUUUGGUUUCAGCUGGAGGGCUGUGCACUUGGAACUGACUGCCCCAGGGGUGGAAACAUAGCCCUGCUAUUUGCCAUGGACUGAUCCAGACUGCACUGGGAAAGGGAGCGGCUCCAGAACACUUGCAGUACAGUGAUGGCAUCACAGUAUGGGGGAAACACAGCAAAGGGAAAAAAAAGAGAGAGAAAGGGGAGAAGAUAAGCCAAAUCCUCCUGAAGGCUAGUUUUGCCAUAAAGCAAAGUCAAGGGACUUGCCCAGAAAAUUCAGCAUUUAAAAUUCAGUAUUUAGGAGUAAAACGGCAAAUGGGCAUCAUUAGAGUCCAAUGGACACGGUUAGCAAUGCAGCAGCUAUGUCACUGUCCUGGAUAACCCAAAAUGUUACUACUGUAUUCCAUACCUCUCUGUGCCCAAAAAUCAUUACUGUCUCUAUGAGAUCCUGGGGCUGCAAACAGAACGAAAGGGCUGGGGCUGUCCCAGGACCUUUAACAGUCAAGGCGCCGAGGCAGAGUUUCCCUCUUGGCUCUCUCUGGCCGCUUGGUUUGCCUUCUGGCUUUUUCUUGCCUCUACUUGCAACAGUAGCAACUCAAGAGGCUGCGUGUCACAAUCGAGAACUGUUUCAGAGUGAAUUUUUCAGCAGCUGGCUGCAGGCCCCGAGGAGCAGAGCGCCGGGCUCGGCGCAGCCCCUGCAGCCCAGCAGCAGCGCCUGGCUGAGGCGGAAAGGCGGGAGUGCGAGGCGCCCAGCCAGCCGCACUGCCUCUGCUGCCGACAGGAUGGCCAGCGCCCCGCACGAGUCCCGCACCCUAGCCGAGUGCCCGCUGCCAGUCUGACAGCUGCGUUUGCCAGUGGAGCCCCUGCCUGACCCCAGCGUGGGGAGGGCAGCCACCACCUGCCCUCUGUUUCCCUACAGUGCUUGCCCAUGCCUGGUGCCCUUUUGGGGAAGGGCAUAUGCUGCCAUUUUGAGUUUCUCUUUGUUGCUGGGGGGGUUCAUGAGAUUUCACCAACUUUGUAAUUAUCCAACUAGUAACUAUUACUAUUAUUUUUUACCUAUUGCUAUUUCGGUUUUUUAGUAAACUAUUAUUUUUUCACUUGCAACAACUACUUGUAUUCAUUUCUCCAUAUUGGUGGAAGGGGAUUGAUUAAAACUAACUCAUUCUAGAGCGUUCCCCUUAAAUUACCUGUAAUACAUGUUGGUAUAAUUCGCGUUUUAUUGUACAUGUAUAAAAUCAGGUAUAAAGCAUUUUUUUU